GGCAGGGGAGGGCAGGGCCUGAAGACCAGGAGACCUGGGUUCGAAUCCCAGCUCUGCCA
rfam:Oryctolagus cuniculus unplaced genomic scaffold chrTn0295, whole genome shotgun sequence.